UACGGGGGGGGCAAGCGUUGUUCGGAAUUACUGGGCGUAAAGAGCUCGUAGGCGGCCAACUAAGUCGGAUGUGAAAUCCCCAGGCUUAACCUGGGAACUGCAUCCGAUACUGGAUGGCUUGAAUCCGGGAGAGGGAUGCAGAAUUCCAGGUGUAGCGGUGAAAUGCGUAGAUAUCUGGAGGAAUACCGGUGGCGAAGGCGGCAUCCUGGACCGGCAUUGACGCUGAGUGAGCGAAAGCCAGGGGAGCAAACGGG
rnacentral:rRNA from 1 species